GACGUAGGGGGCCAGCGUUGUUCGGAAUUACUGGGCGUAAAGGGCGCGUAGGCGGUGCGGCAAGUCACCUGUGAAACCUCUGGGCUUAACCCAGAGCCUGCAGGCGAAACUGCCGUGCUGGAGUGUGGGAGAGGUGCGUGGAAUUCCCGGUGUAGCGGUGAAAUGCGUAGAUAUCUGGAGGAACACCGGUGGCGAAGGCGGCAUCCUGGACCGACACUGACGCUGAGGAGCGAAAGCCAGGGGAGCAAACGGG
rnacentral:rRNA from 1 species